rnacentral:rRNA from 1 species
AGCGAACGCUGGCGGCAGGCCUAACACAUGCAAGUCGAACGGAUCCUUCGGGGUUAGUGGCGGACGGGUGAGUAACACGUGGGAACGUGCCUUUAGGUUCGGAAUAGCUCCUGGAAACGGGUGGUAAUGCCGAAUGUGCCCUUCGGGGGAAAGAUUUAUCGCCUUUAGAGCCGCGUCUGAUACUGUUGGUGAGGUACGGCUACCAAGGCGACGAUCAGUACUGGUCUGAGAGGAUGCAGCCACUGGACUGGACACGGCCAGACUCCUACGGGAGGCAGCAGUGGGGAAUCUGCGCAAUGGCGAAAGCCACGCACAUGCCGCUGAAUGAU